rnacentral:ncRNA from 2 species
AGUGAUGGUAGAGGAGCAAAAACCAAGAGUACUUCAUCUGAAAAGUAGGAGCUUUAAGGAUGAUGAAGAAAAGGGGAUUUUUGCCGAAGUAAUGAGCGCCUCCUAACGCUUCUUGCUGGACCUGCAUUGAAGAAAUGCAGAGCUGUCACGUCAUUCUUGCCCGGGGAAGACGUGGAGAACUAUCUCACAU